UACAGAGGUCUCAAGCGUUGUUCGGAUUCAUUGGGCGUAAAGGGUGCGUAGGUGGGCGCCGUAAGUCAGGUGUGAAAAUCUCGGGGCUCAACCCCGAAACUGCACUUGAUACUGCGGUGCUCGAGUACUGGAGAGGAGAUUGGAAUUUACGGUGUAGCAGUGAAAUGCGUAGAUAUCGUAAGGAAGACCAGUGGCGAAGGCGAAUCUCUGGACAGUUACUGACACUGAGGCACGAAGGCCAGGGGAGCAAACGGG
rnacentral:rRNA from 1 species